rnacentral:rRNA from 1 species
UGGGGAAUUUUGGGACAAUGGGGGGAAACCCUGAUCCAGCCAUCCCGCGUGUGCGAUGAAGGCCUUCGGGUUGUAAAGCACUUUUGGCAGGAAAGAAACGUCGCGGGUUAAUACCCCGCGAAACUGACGGUACCUGCAGAAUAAGCACCGGCUAACUACGUGCCAGCAGCCGCGGUAAUACGUAGGGUGCAAGCGUUAAUCGGAAUUACUGGGCGUAAAGCGUGCGCAGGCGGUUCGGAAAGAAAGAUGUGAAAUCCCAGAGCUUAACUUUGGAACUGCAUUUUUAACUACCGGGCUAGAGUGUGUCAGAGGGAGGUGGAAUUCCGCGUGUAGCAGUGAAAUGCGUAGAUAUGCGGAGGAACACCGAUGGCGAAGGCUGCCUCCUGGGAUAACACUGACGCUCAUGCACGAAAGCGUGGGGAGCAAACAGGAUUAGAUACCCUGGUAGUCCACGCCCUAAACGAUGUCAACUAGCUGUUGGGGGCCUUCGGGCCUUGGUAGCGCAGCUAACGCGUGAAGUUGACCGCCUGGGGAGUACGGUCGCAAGAUUAAAAACUU